rnacentral:rRNA from 1 species
AAUGGCUGCAGUAAUAUAACUGUACAAAGGUAGCAUAAUCAUUAGUUUUUUAAUUAAAAGCUUGUAUGAAAGGUUGGACGAAGUAAAAUCUGUCUCUUUUUAAUAUAAUUAGAAUUUAAUUUUUAAGUAAAAAAGCUUAAAUUUAUUUAAAAGACGAGAAGACCCUAUAGAGUUUAAUAAUUUAUUUUAAAUAAUUAAUUUAGAUUUAUUUAUUUUAUUUAUUUUGAAAUUAUUUUAUUGGGGUAAUAGAAAGAUUAAUAUAAUUCUUUUUUUUUAUUUACAUUAAUAUAUGAAUUAAAUGAUCCAUUUUUUAUGAUUAAAAGAUUAAAUUACCUUAGGGAUAACAGCGUAAUUUUUUUAAAGAGUUCAUAUCGAUAAAAAAGUUUGCGACCUCGAUGUUGGAUUAAAGAUUAAUUUAGGUGUAGAAGUUUAAAUUUUUGGUCUGUUCGACCAUUAAAUCUUUACAUGAUCUGAGUUCAAACCGGUGUAAGCCAGGUUGGUUUCUAUCUUUAAAAAAUUUUUAUAUUUUAGUACGAAAGGACCAAAUAUUUAAUAUAUUAAAUAUUUAAUUAUUUUGAAUAU